rnacentral:tRNA from 1 species
CGUUACCUAGGUAAAACGACGCCUUUUUAAGGCGUUGGUUGUGGGUUCGAGUCCCACC